UGGCGUAGUGGUCACUGCACUCGCCUUGCACGCGGGAGACCCGGGUUCGAUUCCCGA
rnacentral:tRNA from 1 species